UACGUAGGUGGCAAGCGUUACUCGGAAUCACUAGGCGUAAAGCGCAGGUAGGAGGUUUGGCAAGUUCGUUGUGAAAGCUCCCGGCUUAACUGGGAGAGGUCAACGGAAACUACCAGGCUAGAGUGCGGUAGAGGUAGCUGGAAUUCCCGGUGUAGCGGUGAAAUGCGUAGAUAUCGGGAGGAAUACCUAUGGCGAAAGCAGGCUACUGGACCGUCACUGACUCUGAUCUGCGAAAGCUAGGGGAGCAAACAGG
rnacentral:rRNA from 1 species